GCUUCGGAUUGGCAUCCCCGGGAGUCUGGAUGGGGUGUCAGACCAUCCGGGAGGAGCUCCAGCCCUCAGUGAUAAUGGAGCGCUAAGCCCCCCGCGGGCGAUUUCCGGGUCCCCGCAGAAUCCAACCCUCAGCGGUAACGGAGCGCUAAGCCCCCCGCGGGCGAUUUCCGGGUCCCCGCAGAAUCCAACCCUCAGCGGUAACGGAGCGCUAAGCCCCCCGCGGGCGAUUUCCGGGUCCCCGCAGAAGCACAUUUCCUUCCUCCUCCCACACUUGACUCCUUCAAGGUCGGGCUGUUACCUCCACUGUGCAGCUGCAGCCAGGACUCAAGGAGCAAAGCGACUUGCCCAGUCACACCCCAUGUGACUCUGGGGACAUGCAUGGAGUCACCCCAGCCCUCUUGAGCCUUAGCCCUUCUCUGGUUCCAUUCUGAUUUUCAAAGAAGGAAAUACACAGAUAGGAGGGGUUCCCAGGCGGCCCAUGUCCUCUGGGAGUGCGGUAGGACGAGAGUGUGAAGGAUGGCAGUGUCUGGGACAGAACCAGGCCCCCAGGUGCUGGCCUGGUGAUCACAUGGAGGGCCGGUUGCCUGAUCUUAGGUCUUCCUUGUGGGGGGCAACAAGGAUGUCCCUGGGGAAGGUACAGCCAGCACAAAGAUAAAGAUUUGGGAAGCAGCCUUUAUUCUUGUCUGAGUCUGGUCUAUUCUUGGAUCCCUGGCCCAGUCUGCACCCGCUACAUCACAGGUGCUGUUGUAGGGGCUGGGGAAGGAGCUGUGGGUGAGACCAUGUCCUGCCUUUGCUGAGCUCACCCUGUGGUCUUCCCAGCAGCCUGGUUCAGAGACAAGGAGCAGGGUGAGGGCCUGGACAGUUCUCAGUUGCCAGGAAGGGCAAGGGCACACUGUGGGGAGGACAGCAGGUAGACCAGAAGGACAGACCACUGCCUUCAGAGUCAAAGCCCGUUACUGGAGGCUUCUGGACAUCAGCCACAGCAGGAAGUAAGAAGCAGGCUGGGGAUACGAGGGACUGCUCUGGUUUUAACCUGCCCUUUAUGACUCCUUGAGGGCAUAGACAGUGUCCUACACAGGCUGCCUGGCAGCUUGGAGGGUUCUCACCGCUGAGUGCCGCCACUCAGAGUGAACCUAGGGGGCCGUCUUGUGCCUGACUUGCCUGGGAUGCUGCUGCCUGCUUGCCCAUUUGAACACCUUCUGGUCCAUCACCUUGAUCUACAGCAUGGCCUUGGCCUUGGUUUCCCCAUCUGUGAAGGAGAAGGCUGCCCUACAUGCCCCCCGAGGGCUCUCCUUGCUGGACAAUGAUUCCCCACUCGUGCCAGACACCCGCUUUAUGACCGGCUGUGCGGAAGCUGUGACGGUGCCUUCCCCGGCGGAGGACAGUGCGGUGACCGGCUGUGCGGGAGCUGUGACACGGUGCCUUCCCCGGUGGAGGACAGUGCGGGGACCGGCUGUGCGGGAGCUGUGACACGGUGCCUUCCCCGGCGGAGGACAGUGCGGUGACCAGCUGUGCAGGAGCUGUGAUGGUGCCUUUCCUGGCGGAGGACAGUGCGGUGACCGGCUGUGCGGGAGCUGUGACGGUGCCUUCCCCGGCGGGGGACAGUGCGGUGACCGGCUGUGCAGGAGCUGUGACAGUCCCUUCCCCGGCGGGGGAUGGUGCGGUGACCGGCUGUGCGGGAGCUGUGACACGGUGCCUUCCCCGGCGGGGGACGGUGCGGUGACCGGCUGUGCGGGAGCUGUGACGGUGCCUUCCCCGGUGGGGGACAGUGCGAGAGCACGUUGGACCAUUCCCAGGCCUGUGCUGAAGAGCAACUUGCAACCGGGAGAGUCAGGUCCAGUCAGAGCUCCAGCUUCAUGCCUGGCCUGGAACCUGAUCACUUCAGCCAGCAAAUGCCAGCUGUCACCUGCCUCCAAGACCCAUUAGGAGGAGGUUCCAGUCAACCCAAUGGAUCACCUUGGCUUGGUAUAGACAGUUAAGGUCAAAACUCCCAAGCAUGCUUUUCCCACCAGAAGCAUACAGCAAGGAGAGCUAACCUUUGCUGCAGUGCCCACCGUACCCUGAGCUGGCAGCACAUUUAGUGGGAUGAAGAAUGUGAGAGGAUCAUUGCAUACAUCCACCAGCCAAGUGUAGGUUCAGCAGCAUUUAACAGAACUCUUCCCAGUGACAGUGUCAAAACAGGAUGGGUCCUUCAUGUCUCUUUUUGUGUAACAGUAGUUUGGAGGUGGGUGGCUGUAGGAAGCUGUUAGGGAUCAAUACUUAGUCUGUCCUCAUCCUCAUGGUCCAAGAUGGGUGCUAGAACUCCAGCCAUCUCAUCCAUGUCCCAAGCAGGUGUCCCCUCUUAGGGAGACUUCCUGGAAGUACCAUCCAACACUUUGCUGAUAUCUCAUUGGUUAGAACGGAAUCACAUGAUCACAUCUAGUGUAAAGGAGGCUGGGAUACAUAGUUUUGUAUUAGGUUGGUGCAAAAGUAAUUGUGGUAAUAAUUGAGCACAUUGUUGUCCAGCUAGAAAUUGGGUUCUAAGGAAGAUAGCAAGAAUGGAUGUUGAUCAGGCAAUUGGGAGUCUCCACAUUUGCCAACAGUCUUGUCUGACCACCUCUCCGGGUGGCAGGCCGAGUGGAUUCAGGGAGCACAGUGUUGGGGACAGGCAGGAAAAGGCACGGAACCACAGCACCAUGUUCCACAUUGCUGUCCUUGGAGUGGGCUGUCUUAAAGGAUUUAUUUUAGUUAUGUGAGGGGCUUGAGUUCCCCAAAUGGUCAACUCAGCUUUCAAGAGGUUUCCAGGGGUCAGGAGAGCGGUUUCUGACCCCCGCACUCCAACAGUCCAUGGUUCUUCACCUCAAGGCUGCUUAGCACUUCGGGUGAAUGAAGAAGGCACACGGGACAGUCUGUCUUCUGUGCAGUCACUGGAUCACCCUGGGAUAAAGUCUCCCCCAGGCCCUGUCAUAGCUCUGGUCCUUCUUAGGAAAGGAAAAGUCCUAUUAUUGUUUUUAGUUACACGUCAUCUUCCUUUUCUUUAACGUGUCUGGUUGAGCAAAAUCAUCAAAACCCAGAUCUUUGUUCAACGCCUGUGUGUCUGGCCCUCCAGCCCGGCCCGGUCAAGGCUGGCAGCCUGCAGUGGGGAGUGGGGUGAGGGCCUUCUGCUGUCUUUAGUCCCACGGGUCUGGACCUCUACUUCCUGCUGGGUCCCAAGGC
rnacentral:lncRNA from 1 species